UGCCAGCAGCCGCGGUAAUACGAAGGGAGCUAGCGUUGUUCGGAAUUACUGGGCGUAAAGCGCGCGUAGGCGGACUGAUCAGUCAGGGGUGAAAUCCCGGGGCUCAACCCCGGAACUGCCUUUGAUACUGUCAGUCUAGAGUCCGGAAGAGGUGAAUGGAACUCCUAGUGUAGAGGUGAAAUUCGUAGAUAUUAGUGAAGAACACCAGUGGCGAAGGCGAUUCACUGGUCCGGUACUGACGCUGAGGUGCGAAAGCGUGGGGAGCAAACAGGAUUAGAUA
rnacentral:rRNA from 1 species